rnacentral:rRNA from 1 species
UACAGAGGGUGCAAGCGUUAAUCGGAAUUACUGGGCGUAAAGCGCGCGUAGGUGGUUCGUUAAGUUGGAUGUGAAAUCCCCGGGCUCAACCUGGGAACUGCAUUCAAAACUGUCGAGCUAGAGUAUGGUAGAGGGUGGUGGAAUUUCCUGUGUAGCGGUGAAAUUCGUAGAUAUUGGGAAGAACACCAGUGGCGAAGGCGGCUCACUGGUCCGCAACUGACGCUGAGGCGCGAAAGCGUGGGGAGCAAACAGG